rnacentral:rRNA from 1 species
UCUGGUGACCAUGGCACAGUGGUCCCACCCGUUCCCAUUCCGAACACGGAAGUGAAACGCUGUUGCGCCGAUGAUAGUAUGGCGAAAGGCCAUGUGAAAGUAGGACGUUGCCAGAU